UACGUAGGCAGCAAGCGUUGUUCGGAGUUACUGGGCGUAAAGAGUGCGUAGGUGGUGCCCUAAGUCUGUUGUGAAAUCUCCCGGCUUAACUGGGAGGGUGCGGUGGGAACUGGGGUGCUUGAGUGUGGGAGAGGUAAGCGGAAUUCCUGGUGUAGCGGUGAAAUGCGUAGAUAUCAGGAGGAACACCGGUGGUGUAGACGGCUUACUGGACCACGACUGACACUGAGGCACGAAAGCGUGGGUAGCAAACAGG
rnacentral:rRNA from 1 species